AAAUAGAUAAACCCUGGGUUUCCGUGUCCAACGUUUGACUGUCCAUCUUAUAUGAAAUUUUUUUAUAAUUAGUAUUUUCAUUGUUGUUAGAUGAUAAAACAUGAUUAAUACUUUAAACGUGACUUGUCUUUUUAAUUUUUUUUAUAAUUUUUUUAAAUAAGACAGACGGUCAAACGUUGGACAUGAACACCAGGGUUUGUCUUUUU
rfam:Oryza glumipatula chromosome 9, whole genome shotgun sequence.